CACAACCGAAACACUGAAGUAGAAACACCUCUGCAGACAACACUGCUGAACGAACGCGGCAGUGGCACACUGCGGACUUGACAACCUGUCUCACGAGCUUCUCACGACCUGACACACGCCGAGCUCCGCGGUGACCGAAGACAUGUGUGGUGUUAUUAAACCGAGAGGAAGCUUGAACACAAACAGACAGUUGAGAAGCGUAACCAGACCCAUGAGUGAAGUAAUGGAAGACACAUUUGGACGGGGACAGGAGCCAAAGCCCCCGAAGUGAAUACAAACUACCACCUUGGUGCCUGGGACCUCGACUGACCCAGCUGCACACAUCUGACCACACCCAAGCUGUUUCUAUAAUACAUGGAUGAAUCUGUAUGAGUGACCAGCUUCAAGUAGACUCAUGGAUCGAGUGGACGCACUAUAGGGCCCUUUGCACUCAUUUUGGCAAGUCUCGGAAGGAAAAGCACCUAUGUGAACUAGAAUGUCACUCAGGACAUAGCAACUCCCUCCAAGGCCCAACGGUUCCCUCAUGAGACCACGUUUAAAUUCACUGAACCUGGAUUUUCAUUUGGAUGUGCACAAAAUAUCACACACACACACAAACACACACACACACCCUCAUGCUUUUCAGUUCCUAUCGCACCAACAGUUUGAUGUGUUCUUUCCUGACACAUACCACAUCCUUCCACCAAGUUACAUGGUAAUCCCUCAUGUAGUUUUUGCACAAUCCUGCAAACAAACAAAUAAAAACAAACAUUACCUCUAUUUUUCAUGCUGGGAUGUUGAUACUUUAAGUUCUUUUUCUGCAAAUAACUCAGUGUAAUUUAAUAAUCUGAAUUGUUUAUGUACUACUGAAUGUCCAGUGUUUGUGCUUGGCCUGAGCGGAAUAAUACCAGGAGGUAAAGAUAAAUUGUGUUCUUCUCAACAGUCUCCCCACUCUGUAAAGGAAAGUUUCAGUAUAAUUGAAACCAAGCAUGUCAAAGUAGUAUGCAAUCACACCCAUGCUCGAGUUUCUUUGUAAAUGGUUCUGAGUGGAAAGCUCAAAUGUCCUUGCGGUGAAGAAAGUGGGUGGAAAGAGCCUCAGAGAGCGGCAUCAUCCUGUACAUUAGAUUCAAACGCAGUUUUCAAACGAUGAAAUGCUUUACAAAAUAAACUGUUUUU